rnacentral:rRNA from 1 species
AUUGAACGCUGGCGGAAUGCUUUACACAUGCAAGUCGAACGGCAGCACGGACUUCGGUCUGGUGGCGAGUGGCGAACGGGUGAGUAAUACAUCGGAACGUGCCCAAUCGUGGGGGAUAACGUAGCGAAAGCUACGCUAGUACCGCAUACGAUCUAAGGAUGAAAGCGGGGAUCGCAAGACCUCGCGCGAAUGGAGCGGCCGAUGGCAGAUUAGGUAGUUGGUGGGGCAAAGGCUCACCAAGCCGACGAUCUGUAGCUGGUCUGAGAGGACGACCUGCCACACUGGGACUGAGACACGGCCCAGACUCCUACGGGAGGCAGCAGUGGGGAAUUUUGGACAAUGGACGCAAGUCUGAUUCAGCCAUUCCGCGUGCAGGAUGAAAGCCCUCGGGUUGUAAACUGCUUUUGUACAGAACGAAAAGGCUCUGGUUAAUACCUGGGGUUCAUGACGGUACUGUAAGAAUAAGCACCGGCUAACUACGUGCCAGCCGCCGCGGUAAUAC